CCUAGGGAAAGUCUGUAGCUCAGUGAUAGAGCAUCUGCUUUGCAUUCAGAAGGUCCUGUGUUCAAUUCCCAGCCACUCCAGGU